rnacentral:rRNA from 1 species
GACGAACGCUGGCGGCGUGCUUAACACAUGCAAGUCGAACGGAAAGGCCCUGCUUUUGUGGGGUGCUCGAGUGGCGAACGGGUGAGUAACACGUGAGUAACCUGCCCUUGAUUUUGGGAUAACUUCAGGAAACUGGGGCUAAUACCGGAUAGGAGCUCCUGCUGCAUGGUGGGGGUUGGAAAGUUUCGGCGGUGGGGGAUUGACUGGCGGCUUAUCAGCUUGUUGGUGGGGUAGUGGAUUACAAAGGCUUUGACGGGUAGCCGGCCUGAGAGGGUGACCGGCCACAUGGGGCCUGCGGGACGGCCCAGACUCCUACGGGCGGCAGCAGUGGGGAAUAUUGCACAAUGGGCGGAAGCCUGAUGCAGCAACGCCGCGUGCGUGAUGACGGCCUUCGGGUUGUAAACCGCUUUCGCCUGUGACGAAGCGUGAGUGACGGUAACGGGUAAAGAAGCACCGGCUAACUACGUG